rnacentral:rRNA from 1 species
CCUACGGGGGGCAGCAGUGGGGGAUAUUGCACAAUGGGGGAAACCCUGAUGCAGCGACGCCGCGUGAGCGAAGAAGUAUUUCGGUUUGUAAAGCCCUAUCAGCAGGGAAGAAGAAAUGACGGUACCUGAGUAAGACGCACCGGCUAAAUACGUGCCAGCAGCCGCGGUAAUACGUAUGGUGCAAGCGUUAUCCGGAUUUACUGGGUGUAAAGGGAGCGCAGGCGGCACGGCAAGCCUGAUGUGAAAGCCCGCGGCUCAACCGCAGAACUGCAUUUGAAACUGUUGAUCUUGAGUACUGGAGAGGCAGACGGAAUUCCUAGUGUAGCGGUGAAAUGCGUAGAUAUUAGGAGGAACACCAGUGGCGAAGGCGGUCUGCUGGACAGCAACUGACGGUGAGGCGCGAAAGCGUGGGGAGCAAACAGGAUUAGAUACCCCUGUAGUC